rnacentral:rRNA from 1 species
AUUGAACGCUGGCGGCAGGCAUAACACAUGCAAGUCGAACGAGUGGCGGACGGGUGAGUAAUGUAUGGGAAACUGCCCGAUGGAGGGGGAUAACUACGGGAAACGGUAGCUAAUACCGCAUACCAUCGGAUGUGCUCAGACGGGCUCCGCUAGUAGGUGGGGAAACGGCUCUCAUAGGCGACGACCCCUAGCUGGUCUGAGAGGAUGACCAGCAAAACUAGAACUGGGACCCGAUCCAACCUCCUACGGGAGGCAGCAAUGGGAAAUAUUGCACAAUGGGCACAGCCCUGAUGCGGCCAUGCCGCGUGUAUGAAGCAGGCGUUCGGGUUGUAAAGUACUUUCAGCGAGGAGGCGUUGCUCGCAGAAGAGGCGCCGGCUAACUCCGUGCCAGCAGCCGCGGUAAUAC